UACGUAGGGUGCGAGCGUUAAUCGGAAUUACUGGGCGUAAAGCGUGCGUAGGCGGUCCGCGAAGUCUGAUGUGAAAGCCCCGGGCUCAACCUGGGAACUGCAUUGGAAACUAACGGGCUCGAGUGUGGCAGAGGGGGGUGGAAUUCCACGUGUAGCAGUGAAAUGCGUAGAGAUGUGGAGGAACACCGAUGGCGAAGGCAGCCCCCCUGGGCUAACACUGACGCUCAGGCACGAAAGCGUGGGGAGCAAACAGG
rnacentral:rRNA from 1 species